GCUUGUCUCAAAGAUUAAGCCAUGCAUGUCUAAGUAUAAACUGCUUAUACUGUGAAACUGCGAAUGGCUCAUUAAAUCAGUUAUAGUUUAUUUGAUGGUACUUUCUACUCGGAAUAACCGUAGUAAUUCUAGAGCUAAUACGUGCGUAAAUCCCGACUUCUGGAAGGGACGUAUUUAUUAGAUAAAAGACCGACCGGGCUCUGCCCUAUCAGCUUUCGACGGUAGUGUAGUGGACUACCGUGGCGUUAACGGGUAACGGAGAAUUAGGGUUCGAUUCCGGAGAGGGAGCCUGAGAAACGGCUACCACAUCCAAGGAAGGCAGCAGG
rnacentral:rRNA from 1 species